AUGAACGCUGACAGAAUGCUUCACACAUGCAAGUCUUUGGCGAAGCUGUGCUUGCACAGCCUAGCCAAGGCGGACGGGUGAGUAACGCGUAAGGAACUUGCCCUGCAGUCAGGGAUAACAGACGGAAACGACUGAUAAGACCUGGUAAAGUCAGGCGGACUCAUGUCCAGCCUGAUGAAAAGAGAUGCUGCAGGAGAGCCUUGCGUCCUAUUAGCUUGUUGGUGGGGUAACGGCCCACCAAGGCGAUGAUAGGUAGCCGGCCUGAGAGGGUGGACGGCCACAAGGGGACUGAGAUACGGCCCUUACUCCUACGGGAGGCAGCAGUGGGGAAUAUUGGACAAUGGGGGCAACCCUGAUCCAGCAAUUCUGUGUGCACGAUGAAGGUUUUCGGAUUGUAAAGUGCUUUCAGCAGGGAAGAAAAAAAUGACGGUACCUGCAGAAGAAGCGACGGCUAAAUACGUG
rnacentral:rRNA from 1 species